UAGGGAAUCUUCCGCAAUGGACGCAAGUCUGACGGAGCAACGCCGCGUGAGUGAAGAAGGUUUUCGGAUCGUAAAACUCUGUUGUUAGAGAAGAACAAGUGCUAGAGUAACUGUUAGCGCCUUGACGGUAUCUAACCAGAAAGCCACGGCUAACUACGUGCCAGCAGCCGCGGUAAUACGUAGGUGGCAAGCGUUGUCCGGAUUUAUUGGGCGUAAAGCGAGCGCAGGCGGUUCCUUAAGUCUGAUGUGAAAGCCCCCGGCUCAACCGGGGAGGGUCAUUGGAAACUGGGGAACUUGAGUGCAGAAGAGGAGAGUGGAAUUCCAUGUGUAGCGGUGAAAUGCGUAGAUAUAUGGAGGAACACCAGUGGCGAAGGCGACUCUCUGGUCUGUAACUGACGCUGAGGCUCGAAAGCGUGGGUAGCAAACAGGAUUAGAUACUCUGGUAGUCCACGCCGUAAACGAUGAGUGCUAAGUGUUGGAGGGUUUCCGCCCUUCAGUGCUGCAGUUAACGCAUUAAGCACUCCGCCUGGGGAGUACGACCGCAAGGUUG
rnacentral:rRNA from 1 species